GGAUGUGAGCGUGAUCUGGCUGCGACAUCUGUCACCCUAUUGAUUGCCAGGGUUGAUUCGGUUGAUCUGGCUGGCUAGGCGGGUGUCCCCUUCAUCCCUCACCGAUCCAUGUGCGUCCCUCCCAAAAUGUAUUCCUGCAUUUUGGAAAUAAAGCAACAGGCUUUGCAAUAAUCAACAUGUGAAUCAAAACAGAAGCAAAUGUUUUAGAUUAAAUGAUAAUGUAAUUAUUACACAUCAAACCUAUGAAAUAAAAAAUCAUGUGUGCUUGUGUGU
rnacentral:snRNA from 1 species